GAGCAGCACUGGGCGUCGUCAUGACGCGCAGAAUGAUGGAUUUUGAAGUUCCAUGGACAUUUUAUGAAUGAAGCUUACAUUGCCACGAGUUUAUGAUUGAAAACACUUCCAGGAUGUGCGGGUCUUCACUUCGUCUGAAGUAUAGUCGUCCCACAACAGAAAACUGUCCUUAUACGACAAUGGUGAUAAUUCUGAGGGCUUGAUCAAAGGUUUAUGGUGCAUUACACGCAAAAAGAACAGAACAAUCCUGUCCGUCCCUGACCGAGACGGACGGGUCACUUGGUCCCCGGGCGCUGAGAAGCUGCC